CCUAAAAAAUAAUGAUAAAAGACUUGAAUUUAAGAUCAGAGGUACUGAUCUUACUCUAAAUAGUGAAAAGAAUUUUUUAUAAAAAUUUCAUCAGAUUUGGAUUGUUUUACACCGUUAAAUUCGCAAACGCAUCACAUCUACCAUUAAAAUUAUUAAUUUUGAGACCUUUUGAUCACUAACCAAAGGAUGACGAAAAAUUAUGAAAUUUAGUUUCUAACUACUUUUAAUAGUGUAGAUCAAGUCUAACGGAGCCGGUUGUCGAUUUGGAAGAUGCAACAUUGAGCUAAUUUUUUAUACAUGAUAAUCGUUGUUGUUGAGUCUUGGGCGGACAGGGGAGGCUUUGUCCGUUCAGCGUCCAUGGAUGUGCCCGAACCAACCAAAUUGGCGGUCGCGAG
rnacentral:lncRNA from 1 species